rnacentral:rRNA from 1 species
UACGUAGGGUGCAAGCGUUGUCCGGAAUUAUUGGGCGUAAAGAGCUCGUAGGCGGUCUGUCACGUCGGAUGUGAAAACUCGGGCUCACCCGACGCCUGCAUUCGAUACGGGCAGACUAGAGUUCGGUAGGGGAGACUGGAAUUCCUGGUGUAGCGGUGAAAUGCGCAGAUAUCAGGAGGAACACCGGUGGCGAAGGCGGGUCUCUGGGCCGAUACUGACGCUGAGGAGCGAAAGCGUGGGGAGCGAACAGG